GGUACUCAAAUCUUGAGAGAGAGACCUCUCAGUCACAAGAGAGUCCUUGGUGAUAAUGAUUGGGUAAGAAGUGAGGGAAAAGAAAAUAAUAUUCUAAAAGAUUUGGAAGAGUGCAGUGAUGGAGCUUGGAAGCUUGUGAAGCUGACAUCGAAAGAAGGGACAUUCACAGUUAUUAUAGAGAGCCUUUAGUUGAGCAAACUCUACUCUCUCCCAAAAAUAAAUAAACUCGGUAUUAUUGGCAUCAUUAAUAGAUCUUGAUCUCUAUAGUUCAUAAAUCCUACGUCACAUUCAAAUUAAGUUUUUGAAAUAAAACUUCUGUUAUAUGGCAUA